UGAAAGCCAGUGACAUCGACCCAACUAGCUGGGAAGCCGUGGCAGUAGACCGCAGCUAGAGGAGGCAUGUCGUUAUUAACGACAUGAAAGGCAGGCACACAGAGGAGCGAGUUAGAAGAGAGACGAACAGUGGAAGGAGAGAAGAGAGCGCAGACGACAGAGGCCAACAUCAGCGCUACCACACAGCCAGACUCGGCUUUACAAUGUAUGCGGCCCCAUGAUUGAGCUGUACAGCCACAGCAUGCGCUGCAACUGUACAAACAACUGACCUACGGCGCAAAACUCCAUUGUCUCUUGAGACAGACGGAUGCCAACAAGUGAACAAGUGGAAUGUGCUGGCCCACUAUACAUUGGGUAGACAUUCCCAUGCCGCGGCCUAUGUUAGCCAUACCACACGGGCAGGCGGACCGCUGACCACACUGAACAACCAGCUCCUGUAUAUCUAAGUCAAGCAACCUGGAGUGGACCCUCUUGGGCGUGGCCGUUCUUUCCACGCCUUUGCUCUUCACCUUGCUCAAGAUUCAAGCUUCAAGACGGCAUGAACUAUUAGCACGGGUAUGAUACCCUAUCCGUGUGAGCCCCUCGUCGCCAGUCAAGUCCUGCGGUUUCUUCAGUCAAGUCAGCCAAGCCCCCCUCGUUGGACGUGGACCACAACUCGGAAUCCUGAGGUGACAAGACGCCGUUUGUCACGCCGCCCCCUCAUCGGUAAACAGAGCAACCCGGCCUCCUACGUUUUCUUCAGUUCACCGGGCAUUCAUUGAUUCACAGUUGCGUAAGAAUCGGCCGAUACUUAAUUUAUGAUUGUAUAAUUUGUAUUAUAUUAAUUUAUUCAUGUACUUGAUCUCACUGUGAUUUGGAUUGACUUUGAAUAAUAAUUAAAAGUCAUGCACCUUAAUUUCUAUGAAUUGA